rnacentral:rRNA from 1 species
UACGUAGGCGGAAAAUUAAGUCAGUGGUGAAAUCCCACAGCUUAACUGUAGAACUGUCAUUGAUACUGGUUUUCUUGAAUUUAGUUGAGGUAGGCGGAAUGUGUAAUGUAGCGGUGAAAUGCUUAGAUAUUACACAGAACACCGAUUGCGAAGGCAGCUUACUAAACUAUGAUUGACGCUGAGGUACGAAAGCGUGGGGAGCGAACAGGAUUAGAUACCCUGGUAGUCC